UUCCUUUUGCUCUAUUUGACAGAUCAACUACAUCUCAUUACGAAAUAAGUUGUGAAUGUCUCGAUAAUUUCUUAAGGUCAAGGGAUUCAACACUAACUUCUAGUUGACUGCAGAUGUGUAUAACAAAGGGUGAGUAUGAUGAAUCUGGUCCCUCAGUUGUACAUAAAAAAUGCAUCUAAGAGUGGUUAGAUAACUCAAAUACUCUCUUUUCAAAUGAAUGAUAUUUCAAUCUUUUUGAGCAGUAUGAUAUUUUAGUUUCUAGCUUGGCUCGCAGUUAUUCUUUUAUUGCAAGUGAUUUGACUAGAAAGACAUGAAAACGGAGUAUCUCCGCGGCUAAUGUUUUGUUCUAUUGCUUUUCAUGUUAAGCACAGUUGGUGGUUAUUUUUCUUUUCACAAGCAGACUUUCCGAGUUAUAUGCAAUGCAGAUUUGCUUGUGUAUACUUCAAAAUUAUAUGUUCUAUGUUUUGGUAACAGAAGGGUAGAUCUACAUGUAACAGAAGGGUAGAUCUACAUUUUUAUGUUUCGUUUUCUUUGGGUUCGGAUUGGAUUUGUUUAAAGCUUUGGAGGUACUACUAAACGCCUAUGUAUUUAAUUUGAAAGCAAAGAUUCUUGUACCUUUUGGGUAAACGACAUAAAUGACACUUAUAAUGAGACUUUGUUUUUUUUUUUUGUAAUGAUCUUAAAAACUAGCCUGUUUUUUUUUUUUUUUUUAGGGAAUAUUUACCCCUGUACUAUUAGAAAUGGUUUAAAUAUGCCCUUCGUUAUACUUUGGGUGCAAAUAUACCCCUUCCGUUAUACUUUCGGUGCAAAUAUACCCCUCCCAUUAUACUUUUGGGCCAAAUAUACCCCUUGUCCGUUAAAUAUUUGCAUCCCAAUCUUAGAAAAUACACUAGAUGGUGGGAUUACUAUGAAGGACCCAAAUCAUUUUUAUCCAAUUAACACCUAAAAUAACCAUAAUCCGACUCUAAUAAAGCUUCAAAUAUGAACAAUGGAGUGACUUCAUAGUUUAUUUUUCUUCGAAUUAGUUUCGACUGCUUCAAUAGCAAUCAUAUUCACCCAAAAUACAAGAUAGACAUUUAUAAAAUUUAUGAUCCAGAAAGUAGAUAGAAUGGAUGACGAGAAUAUGUAGAAGAUUAAAUUCAUAUCAAAUUAAUUGACUAAGAAGAAGUAUAAGAAUAAUCUGAAUUAAAGUUGAAUACUGUUAUGUUAAAUAUAUAAUACAAAACACAAAUUUUAAGAGAAGUAAAUAAAUAAUGACAUCAGGUUUGCUAUAGAUGGACAUAGUAGAAAAGAUUUUUUCGUUUCCAUCUCCCUCGAGCAUCAAGUUCAGAACUAGGAAAUUGUUCAUGUUUGUCUAAGCACAACCUCACCCGCGUCACCACUGAGCACCAUAUUUGUUCUUUCAUAGCUUGGGGCAUCAUCUAAGAGAAUAUAUAAAUGUUUAAAUACAGGAUUCUGCAACUGGUUCAGUGAUUCAUGACCUUGCGAUGCAGCAAAAGAUAUACACCCAUGGCAAGGAAGAAAAUAUAUGAAUGGAGUAGUGAGAAAGCACAAGUCACAGAAUUUUAAUAUUGCCUUGGGACAAGGAUCCUAAUCAGGUAUAGGAGUUAAAAAGACAAAGAGAUGGGGACUGGAGCUUAAAACGAUCAAAAGGGAGCAAAAAAAGUGCAGCUGAAGACCUACAGUGAAAUAGCCUCAAUUACCGCGGUCACGGUCAGUCCAGAUGGUCAAUCAAAUGCGAUCGCAGAGGUUAAUUGCAGUCGCAUAGCUACGGUUGUAACUAGACUUGCGGGAUCGUGGAUUGGCAGAAAUGUUCAGCCCAAGGGCAAAAUUGUAAUUGCACGUGCUGAUCCCAAUUUGAACAAAAAGACUCAAACCUUAAUUUCAUGUAUCAUUCAUUCCAUCACAUCCCCUUUUCUCCAAUUUUCUAGGUUUUUGGCUCGAGAUUUUGCAGCCUCCAUUUUGGAGAAGAAAAUAUUGUGUAAAUUUUGGGUGAAGAAUACAUUGGAGACUUUCUAAGUUGAAGAUUUGCUCACUUUCUUUGUUGAUAUUGUGGGAGAGACAAGUUUGA